UUUGCAGGGAAUCAAACGGCUUCCAGUACUGCACGGAUGAUCCAUGUAACAACUUACGAUAGUGUUAAUCCCGCAAAUAGUGAUGCUCCAACAAGUCUGCCUUCAGCCUGAGGUCAAUCAAACUAAUCAAGUUCAAAAAGAAAGGUUAGCUAUACAUUACAGUAUUAAUUGUUACAUUACUUGCUGGUAUUUACAAACGGUUAUACUACCAACAUUAACAGCAACAACAAAGCACAAUCGAGCCCUAAAGAUAGAGCAACAAAAUUGUAAAGUCACACAAAGACCUAGAAAAACUAAGAUCCACAUACAUCUCAAAAUUAAAGUCCCAUAAAAUAACAAACCCAAAUACCCUGCUCACACACAUAAAUAGAAACGAUCGCACAUAUAUUUUUUUUUUGGAAAAAACACAAACCAACUUAUUAAAACAUAAAAAUAGUCGAAUUAAACUUAAAGGAAAGCAGCCUCAGAACUUAGAAAAAUUUAAUAUAUGCACGGAAAUGUUGUUUAGCUGGUGCUUCCAAAACAUGAGAUUCAAA
rnacentral:lncRNA from 1 species